GGCCUGGUGGUCUAGUAGUAUGAUUCGCCCUUAGGGAUACUAAACAAUUUGGGCGAGGUCCCGGGUUCAAUUCCCGGCCAGGCCC